GGUUACUUAGUUUAAUAGGUAGAAUGCAAAAUCGUCAAUUUAGUAGGUAUGGGUUCGAAUCCCAUAAGAACCG
rnacentral:tRNA from 1 species